rnacentral:rRNA from 1 species
AGCGAAAUGCGAUAAGUAAUGUGAAUUGCAGAAUUCAGUGAAUCAUCGAAUCUUUGAACACACCUUGCGCUCCUUGGUAUUCCGAGGAGCAUGCCUGUUUGAGUGUCAUUA